GACGAACGCUGGCGGCGUGCCUAAUACAUGCAAGUAGAACGCUGAAGGAGGAGCUUGCUUCUCCGGAUGAGUUGCGAACGGGUGAGUAACGCGUAGGUAACCUGCCUGGUAGCGGGGGAUAACUAUUGGAAACGAUAGCUAAUACCGCAUAAGAGUAGAUGUCGCAUGACAUUUGCUUAAAAGGUGCAACUGCACCACUACCAGAUGGACCUGCGUUGUAUUAGCUAGUUGGUGAGGUAACGGCUCAACAAGGCAACGAUACAUAGCCGACCUGAGAGGGUGAUCGGCCACAAUGGGACCGGGACACGGCCCAGAAUCCUACGGGAGGGAGCAGUAGGGGAUCUUCGGCAAUGGACGGAAGUCUGACCGAGCAACGCCGCGUGAGGGAAGAAGGUUUUCGGAUCGUAAAGCUCUGUUGUAAGAGAAGAACGAGAGUGGGAGUGGAAAGUUCACACUGUGACGGUAUCUUACCAGAAAGGGACGGCUAACUACGUG
rnacentral:rRNA from 1 species